rnacentral:rRNA from 1 species
AUUGAACGCUGGCGGCAGGCCUAACACAUGCAAGUCGAACGGUAACAGGAAGAAGCUUGCUUCUUUGCUGACGAGUGGCGGACGGGAGAGGAAGGUCUGGGAAACUGCCUGAUGGAGGGGGAUAACUACUGGAAACGGUAGCUAAUACCGCAUAACGUCGCAAGACCAAAGAGGGGGACCUUCGGGCCUCUUGCCAUCGGCUGUGCCCAGAUGGGAUUAGCUAGUAGGUGGGGUAACGGCUCACCUAGGCGACGAUCCCUAGCUGGUCUGAGAGGAUGACCAGCCACACUGGAACUGAGACACGGUCCAGACUCCUACGGGAGGCAGCAGUGGGGAAUAUUGCACAAUGGGCGCAAGCCUGAUGCAGCCAUGCCGCGUGUAUGAAGAAGGCCUUCGGGUUGUAAAGUACUUUCAGCGGGGAGGAAGGGAGUUAAGUUAAUACCUUUACUCAUUGACGUUACCCACAGAAGAAGCACCGGCUAACUCCGUG